rnacentral:rRNA from 1 species
UACGUAGGGUGCAAGCGUUAAUCGGAAUUACUGGGCGUAAAGCGUGCGCAGGCGGUUUUUUAAGCUUGAUGUGAAAUCCCCGGGCUUAACCUGGGAACUGCAUUGAGGACUGGAAGGCUAGAGUACGGCAGAGGGGGGUGGAAUUCCACGUGUAGCAGUGAAAUGCGUAGAGAUGUGGAGGAACACCGAUGGCGAAGGCAGCCCCCUGGGCCUGUACUGACGUUCAUGCACGAAAGCGUGGGGAGCAAACAGG